CAGUCGCCGCGGUAAUACGUAGAUGGCAAGCGUUGUCCGGAAUUAUUGGGCGUAAAGGGCUCGCAGGCGGUUUCUUAAGUCUGAUGUGAAAGCCCCCGGCUCAACCGGGGAGGGUCAUUGGAAACUGGGAAACUUGAGUGCAGAAGAGGAGAGUGGAAUUCCACGUGUAGCGGUGAAAUGCGUAGAGAUGUGGAGGAACACCAGUGGCGAAGGCGACUCUCUGGUCUGUAACUGACGCUGAGGAGCGAAAGUGUGGGGAGCGAACAGGAUUAGAUACCCGAGUAGUCCCUGUCUCUUAUAU
rnacentral:rRNA from 1 species